CUUCUACGCGAAGUUGAAAUCCUAAAAAAGCUUCCUGUGACCGUUAGAUCCCUCCCCUGCUCCCAGCCAGAGCCAUUCUCCAAGUUGCAGAGCUUUUCAAUGGUGGAAGAGG